UACCUGGGAACUUUCUUCACGGACUUAACAAAAUUGGAUUCGGCUUUCCCCAAUUAUCGUUUCAAUGGCUUGAUCAACUUCGACAAGAGACGAAAGGAAUAUGAAAUCAUUUCGUGUCUUAAAUAUAUGCAGUUUGCUUGUCAAUGUUACAUCAUUCGCCCAGACGAGAAGUUUCUGG